AGUGAACGCUGGCGGUAGGCCUAACACAUGCAAGUCGAACGGCAGCACAGUAAGAGCUUGCUCUUACGGGUGGCGAGUGGCGGACGGGUGAGGAAUACAUCGGAAUCUACUUUUUCGUGGGGGAUAACGUAGGGAAACUUACGCUAAUACCGCGUACGACCUACGGGUGAAAGCAGGGGAUCUUCGGACCUUGCGCGAUUGAAUGAGCCGAUGUCGGCUUAGCUAGUUGGCGGGGUAAAGGCCCACCAAGGCGACGAUCCGUAGCUGGUCUGAGAGGAUGAUCAGCCACACUGGAACUGAGACACGGUCCAGACUCCUACGGGAGGCAGCAGUGGGGAAUAUUGGACAAUGGGCGCAAGCCUGAUCCAGCCAUACCGCGUGGGUGAAGAAGGCCUUCGGGUUGUAAAGCCCUUUUGUUGGGAAAGAAAAGCAGCAGGUUAAUACCCCGCUGUUCUGACGGUACCCAAAGAAUAAGCACCGGCUAACUUCGUG
rnacentral:rRNA from 1 species